CCUACGGGUGGCAGCAGUGAGGAAUAUUGGUCAAUGGACGAGAGUCUGAACCAGCCAAGUAGCGUGAAGGAUGACUGCCCUAUGGGUUGUAAACUUCUUUUAUAUGGGAGUAAACUGUUCCACGUGUGGGAUUUUGUAUGUACCAUAUGAAUAAGGAUCGGCUAACUCCGUGCCAGCAGCCGCGGUAAUACGGAGGAUCCGAGCGUUAUCCGGAUUUAUUGGGUUUAAAGGGAGCGUAGGUGGAUUGUUAAGUUAGUUGUGAAAGUUUGGAGCUUAACCCUAAAAUUGCAGUUGAAACUGGCGGUCUAGAGAGCAGUAGAGGUAGGCGGAAUGCGUGGUGUAGCGGUGAAAUGCUUAGAUAUCACGCAGAACUCCGAUUGCGAAGGCAGCUCACUGGACUACAACUGACGCUGAGGCACGAAAGUGUGGGUAUCAAACAGGAUUAGAUACCCGAGUAGUC
rnacentral:rRNA from 1 species